rnacentral:rRNA from 1 species
UACGGAGGGGGCAAGCGUUGUUCGGAAUUACUGGGCGUAAAGGGCGCGCAGGCGGCUGCUCAAGUCAGGCGUGAAAGGCCUGGGCUCAACCCGGGAAUUGCGCUUGAGACUGGGCUGGCUUGAGUGCGGGAGAGGAUGGUGGAAUUCCCAGUGUAGAGGUGAAAUUCGUAGAUAUUGGGUGGAACACCGGUGGCGAAAGCGGCUCUCUGGUCCGGACCUGACGCUGAGGCGCGAAAGCGUGGGGAGCAAACAGG